rnacentral:lncRNA from 1 species
UAAAUUCUUCUACUCCAACUUAUUUUUUUAUAAUCUCAUAUGCAACAAUCUUUUUACAAAUAUUUUUCAACUAUAAUUUAUUAUUUCCAUCAUAUAUCAUUUAAGUUUAUUUUUCUUCGAUUUUCUCUCUCUAAAAAAAUAUUUUCUCUUUCUAGCAAAAAAAUUCUCUCUCUAGCUUAUAAGCUCAAUUAUCCAAACAUUUUAAAAACUUAUAAGCUCUUAAAAAUUACAUCUUAUAAGCUCUUGAAACAUCUUAUAAGCUUCAAAAGCUUAUAAGCUCUUUAAAAUAAGCUUAGCCAAACACCCUCUAAG